rnacentral:sRNA from 1 species
ACGUGGGAAAGGAGGUGAUCGGGUAAAUGAGUGAAACCCGGACGCGCGAGGUGGCUGCGGGCUAGCGGCCCGUCACCACAUUCAGUGCGGUGCCGGACCAGUGCGCGACAGAUGCGUGCAGCCGGCCCAAUCCCAAGCAGUCACCCGACCCGUGAGCUCGCCGGUACGUCCGGCCGGCUCCCCCGCUGAGGCGGGGGGACCCGAGCUCGCGGGUCGUCUGCU